rnacentral:lncRNA from 1 species
AUAUAUAUGUUCCUUUCUGUUUUGAUAUGUGAAAAAGAAAAAGAGCAGUGGAAAGGAAACUUUUAAACACUGAUAAACACCAAGAACUCUAGAAUUUUUUUUUACCUCUCAAAACUUCCAAAAAAAUUCUCUCAAAAAAACUUCUACAAAAAAUCUCCCAAAAUUAAUUCAGAGCACGCCUUUUAUAUCCAAACCUAGAAGGUUCCUCAAAAAUCAGAAAAUAUUCCCCUCUAGAACGAAUUCGGACAGAUGGAGAGAGGGGAUCGAUCAAAAAUCAAUCCACGGUGGAAUUCAUUCUCAAAAGCACAUGGGAGACGAAAAAUCUGUUAGAUGUUGUUAGAAUCUUGCUAACAAGGAGCGAGGGGGAACGUGUGAGUAAUUUUGUGCUCACUCGCUUGGGAUUUGGCGUGUUAAACACGACUUAGAUGAAGAAUAAGAUGAGCAAUGCGCGUUUUGGUUAGGGAUUUAAGACUUCGGAUCUCUGUGUGUAUUAGUGCAUGUAUUUGUGGAGCAGGUCGGGUUAGGGAAAUGGGUCGGCGAUGGGUUGGAGCGG